AGUGAACGCUGGCGGUAGGCCUAUCACAUGCAAGUCGAACGGCAGCACAGCAGUAGCAAUACUGUGGGUGGCGAGUGGCGGACGGGUGAGGAAUACAUCGGAAUCUACCUUUUCGUGGGGGAUAACGUAGGGAAACUUACGCUAAUACCGCAUAAGACCUUCGGGUGAAAGCCGGGGACCUUCGGGCCUGGCGCGGAUAG
rnacentral:rRNA from 1 species